UCCAUGGUGGCUCAGACGGUAAAGCGUCUGCCUGUAAUGCAGGAAACUCAGGUUCGAUCCCUGGGUUGGAA
rnacentral:tRNA from 1 species